GCCAUGAGCUCUACAUUGUAGAGUUUGAGACUCUUAAUCUCAGUUGUGGGUUUGAGCCCCACUUUGGGCA